AACGUAGGAGACAAACGUUAUCCGGAGUUACUGGGCGUAAAGGGCGUGCAGGUGGUCUGUUAAGUCUGGCGUGAAAGCUCCUGGCUAAACCGUGAGAGGUCGUUGGAUACUGGCGGACUAGAGGACGGUAGAGGCGUGUGGAAUUCCGGGUGUAGUGGUGAAAUGCGUAGAGAUCCGGAGGAACACCAGUGGCGAAGGCGACACGCUGGGCCGUACCUGACACUGAUACGCGACAGCAUGGGGAGCGAACGGG
rnacentral:rRNA from 1 species